UCACUCCACACUCACACCUUCAACCCUUCCCAAAAUUCUUUCCAAUGCGUAUAAAAGCAUUAGCAAUGUACAGUGCUGCUCUGCCUCUCCACAGGAC